GGUUCAGUAGCUCAGUUGGGUAGAGCAAUGGAAUUGAAGCUCCAUGUGUCGGCAGUUCGACUUCCUGUCCUGAACCAUUC
rnacentral:tRNA from 1 species